AAGAAAAGCAGACAAGAUGGCGCCGAUCAACUGGAAAUCCCAUUUGCUUAAGAUUAGGGUGGGGCGACCAGCCUUCCCCACGCACUCUAUGGAUGUCAUGCCGGAUGGAACCAAUCUUUGAGCCCUACGUAAAUGAAACACCGCCUUCACCAGCCUGCCUAUAAAGUCUGCAGAGGUCAGGUGCCUCCCACCUUUUUGGCUCUCUUUCUCUCUCUCUCUCUCUCCUUCCCUCCCUCCCCUUCCCUCCCCUUCCCUCCCUCUCCCUCACUCUCCCCCACUCCCUCUCCCCCUCCCCCUUUCUCUCUCUCUCUCUCUCUCUCUCUCUCUCUCUCACAAGGAGCUGCUCUCCUCCUUUCUUCUGUUGAGACGUGUGUGUGUCUGUCUUUCUGUCUCUUUCUCUCUCUCUCUCUCGCAAGGAGCUGCUCUCCUCCUUUCUUCUGUUGAGACGUGUGUGUGUCUGUCUUUCUGUCUCUGUCCCUCUGUCUCUUUCUCUCUCUCUCUCUCUCUCUCUCUCUCUCUCUCGCAAGGAGCUGCUCUCCUCCUUUCUUCUGUUGAGACGUGUGUGUGUCUGUCUUUCUGUCUCUGUCCCUCUGUCUCUUUCUCUCUCUCUCUCUCUCUCUCUCUCGCAAGGAGCUGCUCUCCUCCUUUCUUCUGUUAGGACCUGCGUGUGUGUCUGUGUUUCUGUCUGUCUCUGUCCCUCUGUCUCUCUCUCUCUCUGUCUCUGUGUCUCUCAGUCUGUCUCUCUCUCCCUCUCUCUCUGUCCAUCUCUCUCUCUCUGUCUCUCUCUCUGUCCCUCUGUCUCUGUCUCUCUGUCUCUCACAACGAGCUGCUCUCCUCUCUCCUUUCUUCUGUUUGGACGAGUGUGUGUGCCUGUGUCUGUCUGUCUGUCUGUCUCACUGUCUCUCUCUGUCCCUCUGUCUCUCUCUAUAUCUGUCUGUCUGUCUCUUCCUCUCUGUCUGUCUCUCUCUCUGUCUCUGUCUCUGUCUCUCUCUCAAGGAGCUGCUCUCCUCUCUUUUUUUCUCUUCAGACUUGUCUGUGUGUGUGUGUCUGUCUGUCUGUCUCUCUGUCUCUCUCUGUCCCUCUGUCUCUCUCUGUCCCUCUGUCUCUGUCUCUUUCUCUAUCGCAAGGAGCUGCUCUCCUCUCUUCUGUUUGGACCUCUCUGCUUGUGUGUGUCUGUGUGUGUGUGUGUGUCUGCCUCUCUCUCUCUCUCUCUCUCGCAAGGAGCUGCUGUCCUCUCUCCUUUCUUCUGUUCAGACCUCUGUGUGUGUGUGUCUCUCUCUCUCUCUGUCUCUGUGUGUGUCUGUUUCUCUCUGUGUGUGUCUCUUUGUAUCUGUGUGUUUGUGUGUGUCUGUCUCUCUGUCUCUGUCUGUCUGUCUGUCUUUCUCUCUCUCUCUCUCUCUCUCUCGCAAGGAGCUGCUCUCUUCUCUUUUCUCCUGUUUGGACUUGUGUGUGUGUGUCUGUCUCUCUCUGUCUGACUGCCUCUCUUUGUCUCUGUCUCUCUAUCUCUCUGUCUGUCUCACAAGGAGCUGCUCUCCUCUCUCCUUUCUUCCCUGUCCUCAAUUAUUUCUCAGAGUGAGACAAGGAACUCCAGGGUAUACACCCCGCACGACGUAGCUGUUUCCAACACCAGGGGUCUUAGCUAGAAAAAGUGAGUGUAUGUAAUCGUCAGCAUUUGCUACUGAUGACAGAAUAGAACAAAUUCUGCCAAGAGAUUUAAAGAGGUUUAUUCUGAACCAAUAUGAGUGCUGAGCGCCUGUGCUCCAGGAUUACAUGGUCUCAAGAGAUCUGAGAAAGUGUGUUCAGGAGGUCUGGUUACAGUUCCAUUUUUAUUUAUUUAUUUAUUUUUAUUUUUUUUAAAUCGAGAUGGAGUCUCACUCUGUCAUCCAGGCUGGAGUACAAUGGCGUGAUCUCGGCUCACUGCAACGUCUGCCUCCAGGGUUCAAGCAAUUUCCCUGCCUCAGCCUCCCGAGUAGCUGGGAUUACAGGCCCCUGCCACCACACCUGGCUAAUUUUUUGUAUUUAGUACAGACGAGGUUUCACCAUAUUGGCCAGGCUGGUCUCAAACUCCUGACCUCAGUUGAUUCUCCCACCUCGGCAUCCCAACAUACUGGUAUUACAGGUGUGAGCCACCGCGCCCGACCUACAGUUCUAUUGUAUAUAUUUCAGGGAGACAGGAAUUGUAGGUAAAAUCAUAAAUCAUUACAUGGAAGGUAUACCUUGUUUCGGCCUUAAAGAUGAAACAUCUCAAAGUGGGUUCCUACGAGUCACAGGUAGGCUUUAGGGAUUCUUUAGUUGGCAAUUGGUUGUAUAAAACAUAAAAAUGUAAGGCCGGGCAUGGUGGCCCACGCCUGUAAUCACAGCACUUUGGGAGGCUGAAGCGGGUGCAUCAUCUGAGGUCAAGAGUUUGAAACCAGCCUGGCCAAUAUGGUGAAACCCUGUCACUACUAAAAAUACAAAAAUUAGCUGGGCCUGUAAUCCCAGCUACUUGGGAAGCUGAGGCAGGAGAAACACUUGAAUCCAGGAGGCAGAGGUUGCAGUGAGCUGAGAUUGUGCCACUGCACUCCAGCCUGGGUGACAGAGUGAGGAAAGAAAA
rnacentral:lncRNA from 1 species